AACGAACGCUGGCGGCAGGCCUAACACAUGCAAGUCGAGCGCGCCCUUCGGGGUGAGCGGCGGACGGGUGAGUAACGCGUGGGAACGUGCCCUUUUCUACGGAAUAGUCUCGGGAAACUGAGAGUAAUACCGUAUACGCCCUUUGGGGGAAAGAUUUAUCGGAAAAGGAUCGGCCCGCGUUGGAUUAGGUAGUUGGUGGGGUAAUGGCCUACCAAGCCGACGAUCCAUAGCUGGUUUGAGAGGAUGAUCAGCCACACUGGGACUGAGACACGGCCCAGACUCCUGCGGGAGGCAGCAGUGGGGAAUCUUAGACAAUGGGGGCAACCCUGAUCUAGCCAUGCCGCGUGAGUGAUGAAGGCCUUAGGGUUGUAAAGCUCUUUCAGCUGGGAAGAUAAUGACGGUACCAGCAGAAGAAGCCCCGGCUAACUCCGUG
rnacentral:rRNA from 1 species